rnacentral:misc_RNA from 1 species
CAUGCAUACUAUACCUCUUCGGUUUUCUAGUAGGAUCGGUGUACCUUCAUGUAAGGCAAAGCCAUGUAGAUCAGACCAACUUCACUAGAGAUACAAGUAGGAUAGAACAGCAUAAAGCUGCUGUACGUGCAGACGAUCAGUACGCAAAAACACGUUCAAGGGAAAUUUCCUUGGCAAAGGUGGUAGGAUUACUCUCCAGAUUCGGAGGAAAAAUCCAAAUUUACCAAAGCCAUGAUAACCAGGAAGGUGCAGAUCCAAAUGCCUCCUUCAUUGCAAAGAAAGAGUACCUGAUGAUCUGGAAGAAACCAGCAAUUCAGAUCAUAACAAAAUUUACUCUAGGUUUUAUAGUGACAUAUAAUAAAGUACUGGAUUCAGUAGUGGUUACAAGUGAGUGAUUUAGAGAAUCACAU